UGGCUCAGACGGUAAAGUGUCUGCCUACGAUACAGGAGACCCAGGUUCGAUUCCUGG
rnacentral:tRNA from 1 species